GCCUGGGUGGCUCAGUCAGUUAAGCAUCUGAUUCUUGAUUGCGGCUCAGGUCGUGAUCUCAGGGUCAUGGGAUCAAGUCCUGUCUCGGGCU
rnacentral:tRNA from 1 species